AUCCAUUUUUGGUUCAUGAGUGUGAUGAUUAGGUGCUCAUGCCUUUGGUUGAUAUGUUCCUUCCUCAAACCUUGUUACAAUGUUGGCAUAUUACCCAUUAGACA